GAGGGUAUAGCUCAGUGGUAGAGUCCAUGCUCAGCAUGCAUGAGGUCCUGGGUUCAAUCCUCAGCGCCUCCA
rfam:Camelus ferus unplaced genomic scaffold scaffold812, whole genome shotgun sequence.